AUGCGCUGAUGCAAAUAGCCAGGCUGGGAGCUCACAUUUCUAAAUGGACAAGGGGCUGAACUUAGCCAAAGGCUGGAACUUUACUCGAAAACAAUCUUGGAUUUGCUGAUAAUGAGCAAAGAACGGUUGGCUCCAUCUUCCCCCUUCCCUCCCGCUUCUGUCCUUCUUUUCCUGGGCAGCUUCAGAGGAGAUCUAUUUGUGAAGGGACAUGGGGUUUAUCUCACCCUGGCCUUUUAUCAGCAGAGGCAGGAAGCUGCACAAAUCCCUGGCAAGUGUCCAUCUUCGGCUUACAGAGAAACACUUACUGGGUCCCAGACAUGGUUCUCUUUAGGAAGCUAGACCUUGCUUGGGGGGUGGGGAAUCCCCACCAAUGAUGAGCGGUGCAUCAUCUUUCUUCAGCUCCCUUGACCUUUUAGAACAACAAAAGGCAAGUCAGGAAAUACAUUUUUUUUUACUCAGGUUUACUGCAUACAAGUAGAAGGGAAGGGGUCGUGUUUAUGGCAAAAAUACUCCAUAGUUCUGAAAUAUAAUAUAGACCAGGGGUGGGCAACCUAAGGCCCGGGGGCCGGAUGCGGCCCAAUCGCCUUCUCAAUCUGGCCCAUGGACGGUCUGUGAAUCAGUGUGUUUUUACAUGAGUAGAAUGUGUCCUUUUAUUUAGAAUGCAUCUAUGGGUUAUUUGUGGGGCAUAGGAAUUCGUUCACCCCCCCCCCAAAUAUAGUCCGGCCACAUGGUCUGAGGGACGGUGGACCGGCCCACGGCUGAAAAAGGUUGCUGACCCCUGAUGUAGAUUGUUUUAGGUUUGCCUGCCACUUAAAUAACUUUAGUUCACCUGUUUAACUGCUUUUAUUUAAAUGUAUUUGCUUGUUUUCAUGAUCGUAACCUUGGUACACUUUUAUAAAAGGGAGCUCGUGGAAACGGAAGUGCUCAGUGUUAGAAGGAAAGGCCAUCUUUUUCCCAUGUGUUUCAUAUUUCAACAUCACAGAAGAAUUUUUGAUAUAUUUAUGUUCAUCCUGUGUUCUUGUAAUCUGCUAGAGCAACGCUAGCCUAAAAAUAACAAUAAUGAGGAAGUAGGCAUUUAACCCUACUGUGUAAAUGUUGCCCUCACUUACUAAAAUUGAUCCCUACUAAUGAAUCAACUGAAGGUUACUAGCCAGUGACAAACCGGGGCUAGUUGGAAGGUCAUAUGAGGCACAGCCCUACAUUGUGGGAUGCUCCCUAGUAGUCCAAUGGGCAGCAGGAAGAUUUACGGACUGCAGAAAUGAAAUGAGCUUUGUGUUCUUGCUGGAGUUGUGUGUCACAUCAGUUGCCUAGAAGGCCUGCUUCUUGUCUAUUCUGCAACACCCAUACACUUAGCUACUUCUGGGGGCACUGGUGGUCUUUAUGUUCAUUUCCAGGAGAAAACAAAUCAUUACAAGCUUGCGACAGCCUCUCCGUUAAUGGCCUUCUGAGGUAGGACGGUUGCCCAUUCCAGACAGUUUCCUCAUGGAAAAUCUGGGCAGGAAGAGGUCGUUGACAACAUUCCUGGGGACUGAGGCACGGAGCUUUACUGCUACGAGGGGAUUGUGCAAGCUGGUCUUUUGGAAAAUGCAACUUUGAGAAGGGAUUUGGGAGUCUGAAACAAGACCAGCAAGGACGUGAGUCAGAAUAUGCACAGCCCUCACCAUGGAGGAUGUCACCAAAUCAGGAAGCUGCAUUCUCAGUCUUCGUUCUAGUUGCAAUGGCUAGUUAGAACUAUGCAUUAUGAGACUUAUGGCAUUGUGGCACAAGUCAUUUGCAAUUCUGGGAUGUGUCUGAGCAAUACAGAAACACGCACAUGAAAUCUAUGUGGAACUGCCUUGCUGAUUUUCCCUUACAAGUUAAACCAUGAGCAAACUUUUAAUCACACACUGGAGGGCCUCUGCAGGGCCACAGAUAUCUGUUCCAAGGGCCCAAUCCAGCAGGCUGGGCCCCCGGAUCAUCAGUUUUUGAAAAUGAAAAUGGGCUUUGAUCACUGCUCAGUAGCACCAUCCCAUUGUGAAUGCAGAUGAAGGUAAAGGUAAAGAGACUGGUGACCAUUAGGUCCAGUCGUGGCCGACUCUGGGGUUGCGGCGCUCAUCUCGCUUUAUUGGCCGAGGGAGCUGGCAUACAGCUUCCGGGUCAUAUGGCCAGCAUGACUAAGCCACUUCUGGUGAACCAGAGCAGCGCACGGAAACGCCGUUUACCUUCCUGCCGGAGCGGUACCUAUUUAUCUACUUGCACUUUGAGGUGCUUUCGAACUGCUAGGUUGGCAGGAGCAGGGACCGAGCAACGGGAGCUCACCCCGUCACGGGGAUUCGAACCGCCAACCUUCUGAUAGGCAAGUCCUAGACUCUGUGGUUUAACCCACAGCGUCACCCACGUCCCUGAAUGCAGAUUACUUCUCUAUUUUGGUUCCUACUUUGUUGACUGUUGCUAAAUCCUGUGACAGAGGGUGGAACUAGCACUGCGUGACAAGAGAGGAGCAGCAGGGAAACUUUUGCUAUAUCUACCUGCUCUGUGUUUGAUGCUGCACCAGCUCCCUUCGCUGGCCAUGACACUGGACUUCGGGGUGGAGUAGGGAGAUGCCCCAAAAUUAAGGACUUCUAGCCUUGGCUAGGGUGGGUGUGAGUGUUCCGGUUUUUGUUUUUCUCAGCUGGUUAGUGGGUGGGCAUAUUGUUCCGUUUUAUUUUUGUUGUUGUUGUUUAGUCGUUUAGUCGUGUCCGACUCUUCGUGACCCCCUGGACCAGAGCACGCCAGGCACUUCUGUCUUCCACUGCCUCCCGCAGUUUGGUCAGACUCAUGUUUGUAGCUUCAAAGACACUAUCCAACCAUCUCGUCCUCUGUUGUCCCCUUCUCCUUUCCCAAUUUCAGGGUCUUUUCCAGGGAGUCUUCUCUUCUCAUGAGGUGGCCAAAGUAUUGGAGCCUCAGCUUCACGAUCUGCCCUUCCAGUGAGCACUCAGGGCUGAUUUCCUUCAGAAUGGAUAGGUUUGAUCUUCUUGCAGUCCAUGGGACUCUCAAGAGUCUCCUCCAGCACCAUAAUUCAAAAGCAUCAAUUCUUCGGCGAUCAGCCUUCUUGAUGGUCCAGCUCUCACUUCCAUACAUCACUACUGGGAAAACCAUAGCUUUAUUUUUACUCUACUGCUAAGGUUGUGACUGCUGUUAUGAGAUGCUGUUAUUUAUACCUCUGUCUGUCUAUGUUGAUGCUUUAUAUGAUUUUCUUUUCUAUUUUCUAAUAUAUUUAUGGAUAUGUUCUUUAGUGUGAGUCGCUUGGAGCCAUUUCAGGUAACAAGCAACUAAUAUGUAUUAUAUAUACACAUAUAUACCUUGGCUCCUGAAUGCCUUGGAAGUUGAACGUUUCGGCUCCCAGAUGAUUGAAAACCAGAAGUGAGUGUUCCGGUUUUCGAACGUUCUUUCGGAAGCUGAAUGUCCGACGGGGCUUGCGUGACUUACAGGUUGCAGGAGCUUCCUGAAGCCAAUCAGAAGCCGCGUUUUGGAAGUCAAACGGACUUCCGGAAUGGAUUCUGUUCGACUUCCAAAGUAAAACUGUAUAUAUAUAUACACACACACAUUUAGAAAAAUAAAGAAUAAGAAAAUAAGAAGGAUAAAAUUAUAAGUGUACAAAGUAAAAUGAC